AUUGAACGCUGGCGGCAGGCCUAACACAUGCAAGUCGAGCGAGAGGCGGACGGGUGAGUAAUGUAUGGGGAUCUGCCCGAUAGAGGGGGAUAACUCCUGGAAACGGUGGCAAAUACCGCCUACAAUCGGAUAGACCCAUAUGGGAUUAGCUAGUAGGUGGGGUAAAGGCUCACCUAGGCGACGAUCCCUACCUGGUCUGGGAGGGUGACCAGCCAAACUGGGACUGAGAAACGGUCCAGACUCCUACGGGAGGCAGCAGUGGGGAAUAUUGCACAAUGGGCGCAAGCCUGAUGCAGCCAUGCCGCGUGUAUGAAGAAGGCCUUAGGGGUGUAAAGUACUUUCAGCGGGGAGGCGUUACCCGCAGAAGAAGCACCGGCUAACUCCGUGCCAGCAGCCGCGGUAAUAC
rnacentral:rRNA from 1 species